AACCUGAAAGAACGGCUACAUGGGGGUCAGGAAGCAUUUUGUAGGCAUCUGAUGAAGCCGGUGACAAGUCCACUGCAGCAGGAAGCACCCAGCCCGUUUGGCAGUGUUGGCUUAUGGAUUCAGCCCCUUUGAAGAAAGAUGGCCUGUGUUAUGGAAAAGUGAGGGUGACAGACAGUCUGCACGAGACACACGUUGCUAUGACGUACAGGAAAAGGAUGAAUGCUUCACACCGUCCUUGUCAGUGGAAGUGCAGGAAGGAGGGCUCCUCUGGCACUGAAAGCUUUAUCCGCACCAAACUAGUGACGUGUGUUGUAGGAACCUGUCCCCCCAUGCCAGAGUCCAUAUUCUAUGUUCCUAUAUAUGUUUUGCUGGAAGGAGAGCAGUGCACCUCACUCUUCUAGUAUUAUAUGCAAAAAGGAAGAUGAAGGAGAAGCAACACAGCAAGGAUUCCCAUAAUCUAGCUGCAGCUCUGCCAGGAAACACAGUGUAAAAGUUCCUGUUUUAAGAUGAGAGAUGAGUUUUAUUGUUAGCAGUCGUUAUAGCAACGCGAGGUGCCAGCAAGCAGUACGACUCAGCACGUUGCAGCAGACCCAGACAAGUUCAAGGCUGCUGCUGAAUCUUGUUGCCAAGGCAAUGCAACAUAAGGCAAGAGCUUGGAGAAAUGACGGCUGCCGACAGCUCAUGCCAGCAGGAUCCGUCUGGUUCAAAGGGAACUUUUAAAAGUAGUGGUGGCUCCAGCAGCACAGCCACAGAACGAGGACAAGGGGCAUGCAGGGAUGGGGGAAGGAGCCCAAGGAGAAGCAUCAGCAACAGAGUCCCAGAGAGUUCAGGCACCCCGGUCAAAACCCCUGACGUUGCAGUUCACUGCGCUCCAGCAGCCGGGAACGAGCCAGACGUGGAGCUGGUUAAAACAUGUUCUGCAAAAUUAUCUGGAUUUGCCGGGCAAAGACAAGCGCGGGUUUUCCCCUCGCAACCAUUCACAUACCUCUGUGGAGGAUUUGUUGGGAGUUUCCACCACCUGUUUGCACAGAGCUGACUAUGGGUCCAUGCUGCUCCGCUCUGCUUCCUGUCUGAGAAGAAGCCGAGACGGUCAGCAGAAACAACCUCACGUCCUUGCAGAUGAAAACCAUGGAACACAAUUUGUCCCGCUAGGGAAAUCAGUGCUUUAAGUGCAUGAGUAAUCCACUGACUUCAUAGGAAUAGCUCCGGAUGGAUUUUUUUCAGCGUGCUCUCAGGGGCUGCAGCACAUCAUGGGUGUGUCAGACGAGCCAGGAUGCUCGGUCUGCUGCUGACCUGUGCUGUCCAUUGGGGUUUGGGCUGUCCCAUGGGCAUGCCUGGCCCCUGCCGUGCACCCCAGGGUUCCAUCACUGACAAACAGUGCUUUCUUAGCAAUAGUAUCCCCAGGAACACAUUCAGAAACUACAGAUGAGGUCAUUCCCCAGAGCAUGCUUAGGUAUUUGGGGCCCUGGACGUGGAGAGGAGCUAAAAUCUUACACUCAAUUAAUGGUUUUUAAAGUGAAACUAGAGCUCUUUUUACAGUACAUUUGGAGUCUGUUAAUCUGGCACUGGUUAAUGAUUAACAAUUUAUUUAUCCUUAUCAUUAGAGAUGGUGCAAACAUACAUUCUUCAUCCUUACUCGCUUCAAAAGAGGCAUUGGGAGUAACAGCCACCUACGCAGAAUAAGAAUUGAAUGUUAUUCAUGAAUUAAUACUGUUUAUUCACAUUAACAAAUCUGAGGCUGGUACAUCUCCAUGUUGUCCUUUCAAGCAAUCCAUCAAACAAAAUAAGCAAGGGCCCACCCCAAAGGCCCUAAGUUUGACUUUAUGCUCUAAACUUCCAAACUUCAGCCCAGGAGAUGCUUAGCACAAGACCUCCAGAAAGACUGAGGGUGUGAGCUUUGUCCUACAUUUGGAGAUAACAAAGAAGUGGAAGCCUGGCCUGGAAUCCAUCACAGAAACCCCCUGCAGAGCUCACCACGAAUGACCCAAUACCUGGGCCGAGCUCCUCACCACUUCCCCCAGCACACCUUGAAGGUGGUUUCUGGGCACAGCUGACAUCCCGACACAGCAUUGCUAACCCCUGUUCAACCUGAGUGUGGAUGGUGCUGAGGUGAUAAAGCUGGGUUUCUGGGUGCGGAAGGAUGUGCUUUGCUUCAUCAGAAUCACAGAUUAGAGAUGCCUUUUGAAAAAUGUGCUCUGAGCGUGAUCUUUUUUCUUCCAAAAAUAACUUGUAUUUUGCUCAUAUUAAAAGAGCAGGAUGUUCUUUCCUGUCCUACAGGGAUAAGGAGGAAAUGAGAACUACACUGGUUUUUUUUUAAUAUGAUAUGAGCUACUAUUCUUCUGGUCUACUGCUGUGAAUCUCGAUCCCCCACCCCCCAACCCCAGCACUAGGAUUUUAAUCCCUAUGGAUCUCAUUUUGCUUCAUUCAUGCCAAUGUUCUCCCAGUGAAGCUCUCUUUGAUUUCAGCAGGAUUCCUCCAUAUUUACACCUUUCAGAUCCCAAGGCAGUAUGGAUUGAAGGGAGGCAACUAACUUACAACAGAGAAUGCUGAAUGCCUCCAAGCCCCUUUCCAAUGAGACAAAGUCAGCGGAGAGACAUGAGUGGGGGCAGAGAGCAUCCCUUCCUGUCCUCUGCAUUUAAAGGAAAGAGGCUGCUCUUUGGAGGAAAUGUGAAUGUAAUGAACUGGACAUUCGAGUCCCAUUGUGCUGAGGUCUGACAGGAAACACUUGGGGUUUGAUUCAGGAAAAAGUACAGAGUAUUCCUUUAUAAAACUCUCAUAACCCCAACUAUCCCGCAGCAUUUCACUGCCUGUCUGUCUUUAAUGUAUAUAUUCUCACAGCCCUCUCCAGAAGACCAGAAGGAAACCUGGCCACUGGGGAGCGGGGGAGGCAUGGGAAGAAACUGUAGGGAUGUUUCCAGCCAACAGCCAUCCUAAAUGACAGCAUAAGGCCAGCAGCUCGCUCCCUUUUCAACCAAAGGGACCCCAGAACAGCUGCCCUUGCUGCUGGCCACCACAGUUUGCUAUGGGAAGAGGGACACUGCUCCAACUAUAGGAGCUAUAAACUGCCUCAAGUCUUAUGAAAGACCCAAACUGUAAAGACUGUGAAGGAAACCCCAUACAACCCAGAAGAGAUGGAUUGAGGACAUAAUGCCCUUGACUGAAAAAGGAGGCACCCAGGAAAUCUAGUGGUGUACAUAUAUAUAUAUAGGUGUGUGUAUAUAUAUGCAUAUAUAUAUAUAUUUAACUAGGGCUAAAGUAAUUGGCAUGCACAUCCCCUGAGCUGCUUCCUAAUGCACAGCUGCAGGAGGAAUUAUCUGGCUCUUAGCUGAAGGAACUCCUUAAGAAAGAAAGAAAAAAAAAGAUGUAGGCCAUUAAAGUGCUAAUAAAAAAUGUUGAUGAAUCUCAGAGCAAUGCUCUGAUUAUCUCGCUGUGGGGAAUGAAGAACUCAUUAACAUGAGCUCCGUGCCACUCCUUCCUCCUUUCUCAGAGUUUGGCAUAAAGCAAGGAAACAAAUGUUUGUGGUUUGGCCAAGUUUCUAAUGAGUAGCUCUGCGAGGUCGCCUGAUUAGACACAUGGCUUUUCAGAGGGCGAGAAGGCUGUGGCACCGUAUAAGUGGCAAAGCAUGUCUGUAGGAUCAGGCACCCAAAAAGGAAGUACUUUACCUGCUGUGUAUAAUCUGUUGGUUGCUUUUUGAGGGGUUAUUUAGCCAAAUGCAGGAAAAGUGCAGAAAGAGAGGGGUUUGUUGACACUGCAAACAGGAAGCAACAGCAUGAAGCACAGAAAGAAUAACAGAGCCCUAGUUCUUCCCAGAGAUCCACUCUCCAAAAAUGCAAUGCUACCGUAGCUUAUUAUGGGUUUGGUUUCACUCAUUAAGGUCUGAUCCAGUAGGUUCAUCCUGGCUGUUACCACCUUAUCUAGUAGUUGCCUUGCCCUGCAGCAUGAUGCUUCCUGUAGCAGCACCCAGGCUUGUGGCAGCAAUCACCCUGCACUGCCUCACCCUGCAGCCACAGCACAGCCCUGUCCAGUGGCAUGGCCAAGCACUGCUCCAAGGAGGCAAAUGAGCCUCCAGAACUAAUGGGGAAAGGCUCUCCCAUGCAGGAAUGUUUCUUCUUGAUCCUGCUUGUGAGCCAGUUAUGGACUGAAUCAUAAUGAUCUGUCAUCUCCAUAAGGACUAAAGUAAUAGUGAAGCUCAUCCAUAUGCCCAGGAGAAGAAAACUUGUCCUACAAUAAACACAUAACGAUGCAUCUUUACAUGUCUGAAAGCAUUCUGCUGGGAUAAGCACUGGUGCCUCUGAAAUUCAAAUUCCCAGGUGUGUGAUCAAUGUCACGCAGCACCUUACCAUUCAAAGCAGCCUCCCCAGACACCAGGUCUGUCCCCUGCUGCCACAUCCUGUAAUGACUUAAUAAACUUCACCUCAAAAGCAGUGAGAUUUUUCCAUUCCCAGUACCCCCACUGGAUGUUGCCAACUCUCCUCUGAUUCACAGCUGAAAUGUGUCAGCAGCCAGUUCCUGUCCCAUUGUCCCCAUGCCAGCACUGUCCCCUGGCUGUGUGAGUGCUGAGAGCGGAGAGCAGGAGCCAAGGGAAUUCCUGACCCAAGGACUUCCCUGUAGCACUGCCUUCACUUUCCAAACCACAGCUAAAUGGUGGUAUUUCUUGGCUUUUUCGGGCUGAAAGUUUAUCAAAACAUGACACAGCUGUAUUUUAUUUUAUUUUAUUUUCCUAAAAGGAAGUAAAAAAUGGGGGUAAGCAUACAAGGAACAGCCCUGCUAUUUCCAUGAGUGCUACACUGAAUAAAUAUGAAUGAAGAAGGCAGCUCCAUCUUUCCAAGUGCACUCCACGUGCAGGUGUAGGUAUGCAAGCGCACUUGCUCCUCCUGUACCCAAGGGGAGCUUUCAUUCCCUACAAGCACCAGAUAGUUAGAGAUCCUGUAUUAAAUAAAGGGAUGAGCUGGAAUGGCAUCUGUUAUCACUGGCCAGCACCUACAGGCUCCCAGCACACUGCUCCAGCCAGGUGGGGCUGUCUGAGUGUUGGCUAUCAAUUUGCAAAUUAAAGCA